GAAUAUUUGCAUGAUCACUUGGUAGCUUUGACACCUUAGGAUCAUAAUUGGUAAAAACAUGCUUGAUCACUUAUAUAACGACUCUCCAAGUUAAUGGUACCGCAAGGGUGUUAAUAGGCAUUAGCAUUAGCGUAAUCAAGUCCCCACACCUAAUUAAUUUCUGGUUGCGUAGGAAGUGAGACAUCUCAUGUCUUGCUUGAUUUCAAGCCGAUUCCGAAAGGCUAGUAGCGACUCUUUUCACACGUAGAAUCCUUAGGAAUUAAGCGAAACUUAAAAUGAAAUCUAAGGCCACACCUAAUCGAGGGCCGUUGGCCCGAUUUUGGGCAUUACCCCUAAACCUAUGUCUUUUCCCCCCUUCAGACAGAAAAGGUAGGUCGCAACAAACAGAGACUACACUUGAUCUCAACCAGAAGGCCGAGAAAGGCAUCUGCUCUGUCUUUCUUCUCUUUGCUGAGGAUCAUACCAGAAAAAAGCUGCCUAAAAAGAAGUUACCAACUUCUGGAUUUGUCGUCUCUUUAUAAAGGAAGCAGGUCAUCUCAGGAUCACAUCUCUCGUGAGGCACUUUGUCAAAUUCCCGGCGGCUACCAUAUCGCAAUUGAUGUUAUUUGGUUUUACUUUUCUCAGUGCCUGCCAAACGGAUAACAUCAACCACCCAUAUCACUUUAAAAGUAAAGAGGCAUGCGUACGGGGUAGCGUUAGAGAAUCCUAGUCGCAACUCAUUCCAAGUGUGAAUGCAUGGCUGGGCCACGGAUCUUCGAUUCGAUUCGUUUAUUGACGAUGAUCGAUUGAUUGAUGUCCUUCGAAUGUGGAAAAUGUCCGGGAAAUUGGACGGUGGCUCGAGCGACUUGAAGUACCAAUACUAUGUUAAUGGACGCAAGCAUCGCAUGCGAAAUUGACAUGUUGUUGCAAGAAAAUCAAACCCUAAGAGAGAGAGAGAGAGUGACAUUACACACAUCGGAGAUUGAAGAAUUGACAUGUUGCAAGAAAAUCGCCUACGUCAAAUCCGGGAUUUGGCAUUUUUCUAAGUGUAUUGGAUGAGUCGUCAUAGUAAGUGCUCUGAGUGCGAUUUUUUGGAUAUUCUUCAAAACCAUAUGACGAAUGAGAUAAUGAAAAAAAGGAGACCCUCCACUACUUCGUACAAAUCGGUGGGUACGUUGGCAC